CCAGGAAGUUCACUGAUGGUCCUCGAAACCAGCUACCAUGUUGGGAGUAGCCGUAUGUGCCCCAGUGGCAAACUAUUAUCUCUGCUCAGCAUCCAAGAAAGACCCCAAGCCUGUCAACAGUAACAUGAAUGAGCUUGAAUCUUCUGAGGCCUGCCAACAGCCAUGUGAGGGAGCUUAUGAGAGGAUUUUCUUCCAGCUGAACCUUUAAUAAAGACAACAGACCAAGCAGACACCUGGAUUUCAAGGUUGUGAUAAAUUCUGAGUCAGAGCAUCCCUCUAAACCAGGGGUCCCCAACCCCCUCACCAUGGACCAAUACCAGUUUGUGGCCUGUUAGGAACCGGGCCAUACAGCAGGAGGGGAGCAGUGGGUGAGCAAGCAUUAUCACCUGAGCGCCACCUCUUGCCAGAUCA
rnacentral:lncRNA from 1 species